GUGUAUGACAUGAAUUUAGAGGUUUACCGGGGGUGAUGCUGGUCUCGAGGCUUUAAAUGACAUUUUGCCUUCUUUCUCAUAUAGGCCUGAAAUUGGCUGAGUGAGGGUAGUAUGAAUGUUACCGUCCAGCAACUCUGUGUAGACCAAAGCAAAGAGUAUGGUCAGAAGAGAGCAUGGAGAGCUUUUCGACAAGAUUGUCACUAGGGGCAGCUACAAGAUUGAGAUCAUGGUGCGCGUGUUUGCUGGUCUUGGACAACGUACAACUUUUCUGCUAGGGCCUUUAUUCGUCCCACCUUCGGACAAGGUACAACUUCUGACAACGUACAGCUGUUAUUAUUGGCUUUAAUGUCCAGCCUUUUCCCGCUUCAUUUAUUGAUCAUGUCGGGGUACCUUCUUCUACUCAUUCUUCUAUGGAUACAGAUGCUCGGAAGCGCACAAUUCAUCUUGUUGUUCACCUGGAGAUUAAAUUGAACUACAUGCAAGUGCAUUCAUGGUAUCCAUCUUCAGUUUGAGGCACUCACCGAAAACAUUGGUCAUGGAAGUUGCUUGGAUGCAUUCAGAUGACCAGAGAGGAAGACGACGAGUAGCAGUGCCUAGGAGAGCAAGGCUUGGGCACGCUGGAAUGCUGGAGCUUCACCUUGGCAUGAAAGCAACAAGGACGGUGGCCAGGUCGCGCUGUGUAGCGGACGGCGGUUCUGCAUGGUCACUAAGCGGCCUCAGCAGAGUCGGGAAAGAAGAGCCCUGAUCUCCCUGAAGAGCUGCGUGAAAACCAAAUCGAGGUCAGUAGCAGAAGGUAACAUGGUACACCACAAUCUGGAAAGGAUGAACUCACACUAGACGGACGCCGGGGACAUAGAAGAUUAUGUUGAUCCCAUAAGCAGCAGAAUGACCCAAAGGUUGUGCAUGUUAAAAUUUCUUGGAUGGAAGGAAUGCACAGGAGACGGUGAAAUCAAUGGUAUAGCAUGCAGAGAUUGGUGAUUUGUUCUUGGAUUAGAUGGAGGUAGAAGACAAUGGGGUUUGCUCUCGCCUGAGGGAAAUGAAAAGAAGCCCUCCAGAGUGGGU